rnacentral:rRNA from 1 species
GGGCCCGCACAAGCGGUGGAGUAUGUGGUUUAAUUCGAAGCAACGCGCAGAACCUUACCUUCCCUUGACAUCCCGGGACAAUCUCAGAGAUGAGACUUUCUCUUCGGAGACUCGGUGACAGAUGCUGCAUGGCUGUCGUCAGCUCGUGUUGUGAAAUGUUCGGUUAAGUCCGGCAACGAGCGCAACCCCUGUCCUUAGUUACCAUCAUUAAGUUGGGGACUCUAGGGAGACUGCCGGUGUUAAACCGGAGGAAGGCGGGGAUGACGUCAAGUCCUCAUGGCUCUUACGGGAAGGGCUACACACGUACUACAAUGGUAGAAACAAAGGGUUGCGAAACCGCGAGGUCAAGCUAAUCCCUAAAACACUAUCUCAGUCCGGAUUGGAGUCUGCAACUCGACUCCAUGAAGUUGGAAUCGCUAGUAAUCGGAGAU